ACCUUGUGUAGAGGUGCUGCAAUUAAGAGUAACUUUAUUUAGCAGGCAUGCGAUGAUGUAAAGUGAAAGGAAUUGUGGCCGAAGGAAAUAAGCUGCGAACUUAUUUCCUGGCUGUAUGUAGAAUAUGCAUAUGGCUGUCAUUGAGUAUUCAAUGGAGAGCUACAAAGGUU
rnacentral:ncRNA from 2 species